rnacentral:rRNA from 1 species
UACGUAGGGGGCUAGCGUUGUCCGGAAUCAUUGGGCGUAAAGCGCGUGUAGGCGGUUCGGUAAGUCCGCUGUGAAAGUCGGGGGCUCAACCCUCGGAUGCCGGUGGAUACUGUCGAGCUUGAGUACGGAAGAGGCGAGUGGAAUUCCUGGUGUAGCGGUGAAAUGCGCAGAUAUCAGGAGGAACACCAAUUGCGAAGGCAGCUCGCUGGGACGUAACUGACGCUGAGACGCGAAAGCGUGGGGAGCAAACAGG